CAAUGGGGGAAACCCUGAUGCAGCGAUGCCGCGUGAGUGAAGAAGGCCUUUGGGUUGUAAAACUCUUUCGUCGGGGAAGAAAAUGACUGUACCCGAAUAAGAAGGUCCGGCUAACUUCGUGCCAGCAGCCGCGGUAAUACGAAGGGACCUAGCGUAGUUCGGAAUUACUGGGCUUAAAGAGCUCGUAGGUGGUUAAAAAAGUUGAUGGUGAAAUCCCAAGGCUCAACCUUGGAACUGCCAUCAAAACUUUUUAGCUAGAGUGUGAUAGAGGUAAGUGGAAUUUCUAGUGUAGAGGUGAAAUUCGUAGAUAUUAGAAAGAACACCAAAUGCGAAGGCAACUUACUGGGUCACUACUGACACUGAGGAGCGAAAGCAUGGGUAGCGAAGAGGAUUAGAUACCCUCGUAGUCCAUGCCGUAAACGAUGUGUGCUAGACGUUGGAAAUAUAUUUUUCAGUGUCGCAGCGAAAGCAUUAAGCACACCGCCUGGGGAGAACGACCGCAAGGUUAAAACUCAAAUGAAUUGACGGGGACCCGCACAAGCAGUGGAGCAUGUGGUUUAAUUCGAAGAUACGCGCAGAACCUUACCAACACUUGACAUGUUCGUCGCGAGACUAAGAGAUUAGUCUUUUCAGUUCGGCUGGACGAAACACAGGUGCUGCAUGGCUGUCGUCAGCUCGUGUCGUGAGAUGUUGGGUUAAGUCCCGCAACGAGCGCAACCCUCACUUUUAGUUGCCAUCAUUAAGUUGGGCACUCUGAAAGAACUGCCAGUGAUAA
rnacentral:rRNA from 1 species